GAACAAGAGCAGAGAGAAUGAAGAAGAAGAGGGCAGAGAGCAGAGCUUGAGAAAUCGGGGAAAUGGUGGGAUUAACCACAUGAUUAUUUCUGGCCAGAGCUUUUAAUUCUAGGUCAAGAUCCACUGGAGCUCCUUGACCCUCAGCCACAAGGACUGGAAGUGUUGCAACAUCAGCCUGGGUAUAAGGGCAGUGUGGAUCAGAGGUCCAACUGAGUCUGAAAGACAGGAAAGAAACCAGAAGUCAGAAAAACCAGAAGUUAGUCUCAGCCCAGCUACUCUGUCUGACCUUCAAUGAAUCAGAUGCCUUCAUGAAGAGAGGUCCAUCCAUCAACCAGGCCAGUGGAGCAAAUCUAGAGAAUCAAUGUCUCCAAUGUGAAUUUCCCCUUCCACUCAAGUAUAACUACUUGAUCAAUUUUGAAGAGUCCUGGGAAAGAUGGUUCCCCUCCAUGCUCAUAGUGUUAACGACAUUGCCUGUGGUACUUAGAAGGAUAGACUGUAAAUAAACAUGAUAAGGAUUAUAUAGA